rnacentral:rRNA from 1 species
UGCAACCUACCUUAGUACAGGGGAAUAACCUUUCGAAAGGGAGACGUAACACCCCAUGGUAUUGAUUUAAGGCAUCUUAGAUUAAUUAAAUAUUUAUAGGUGUAAGAUGGGCAUGCGUAUGAUUAGCUAGUUGGUAAGGUAACGGCUUACCAAGGCGACGAUCAUUAGGGGUUCUGAGAGGAAGGUCCCCCACACUGGUACUGAGACACGGACCAGACUCCUACGGGAGGCAGCAGUGAGGAAUAUUGGUCAAUGGGCGCAAGCCUGAACCAGCCAUGCCGCGUGCAGGAAAAGACGGCCUUAUGGGUUGUAAACUGCUUUUACAUAAGACUAACCGUAUAUUUGCGAAUAUACCUGAAUGUAUUAUGAGAAUAAGGAUCGGCUAACUCCGUGCCAGCCGCAGC